UAGUAACGGCGAGUGAAGCGGCAACAGCUCAAAUUUGAAAUCUGGCCCUCGGGUCCGAGUUGUAAUUUGUAGAGGAUGCUUUUGGCGCGGUGCCUUCCGAGUUCUCUGGAACGAGACGCCUCAGAGGGUGAGAGCCCCGUACGGUUGGACACCAAGCCUCUGUAAAGCUCCUUCGACGAGUCGAGUAGUUUGGGAAUGCUGCUCUAAAUGGGAGGUAAAUUUCUUCUAAAGCUAAAUAUUGGCCAGAGACCGAUAGCGCACAAGUAGAGUGAUCGAAAGAUGAAAAGCACUUUGAAAAGAGGGUUAAAUAGCACGUGAAAUUGUUGAAAGGGAAGCGUUUGCGACCAGACCUUUUCCUGGCGGAUCAUCCGGUGUUCUCACCGGUGCACUUCGCCAGGUUGAGGCCAGCAUCGGUUUCUGUAGGGGGAUAAAAGCCCUGGGAACGUAGCUCCUCCGGGAGUGUUAUAGCCCUCUGCAUAAUACCCUUACGGGGACCGAGGACCGCGCCUUUUGGCAAGGAUGCUGGCGUAAUGGUCGUCAACGACCCGUCUUGAAACACGGACCAAGGAGUCGAACAUUUGUGCGAGUGUUUGGGUGUUAAACCCUCACGCGUAAUGAAGGUGAACGUAGGUGAGAGCCCUGACGGGUGCAUCAUCGACCGAUCCUGAUGUCUUCGGAUGGAUUUGAGUAAGAGCAUAACUGUUCGGACCCGAAAGAUGGUGAACUAUGCGUGGAUAGGGUGAAGCCAGAGGAAACUCUGGUGGAGGCUCGCAGCGGUUCUGACGUGCAAAUCGAUCGUCAAAUCUGCGCAUGGGGGCGAAAGACUUAUCGAACCAUCUAGUAGCUGGUUACCGCCGAAGUUUCCCUCAGGAUAGCAGUGUUGUUCUUCAGUUUUAUGAGGUAAAGCGAAUGAUUAGGGACUCGGGGGCGCUUUUUAGCCUUCAUCCAUUCUCAAACUUUAAAUAUGUAAGAAGCCCUUGUUGCUUAG
rnacentral:rRNA from 1 species